UUUGGUUAAGUUAGAAAGGGCGCACGGUGGAUGCCUUGACACUAGGAGUCGAUGAAGGACGGGACUAACGCCGAUAUGCUUCGGGGAGCUGUAAGUAAGCUUUGAUCCGAAGAUUUCCGAAUGGGGAAACCCACCAUACGUAAUGGUAUGGUAUCCUUAUCUGAAUACAUAGGGUAAGGAAGACAGACCCAGGGAACUGAAACAUCUAAGUACCUGGAGGAAGAGAAAGCAAAUGCGAUUUCCUGAGUAGCGGCGAGCGAAACGGAACAUAGCCCAAACCAAGAGGCUUGCCUCUUGGGGUUGUAGGACAUUCUAUACGGAGUUACAAAGGAACGAGGUAGACGAAGCGACCUGGAAAGGUCCGUCGUAGAGGGUAACAACCCCGUAGUCGAAACUUCGUUCUCUCUUGAAUGUAUCCUGAGUACGGCGGAACACGUGAAAUUCCGUCGGAAUCUGGGAGGACCAUCUCCCAAGGCUAAAUACUCCCUAGUGAUCGAUAGUGAACCAGUACCGUGAGGGAAAGGUGAAAAGCACCCCGGAAGGGGAGUGAAAGAGAUCCUGAAACCGUGUGCCUACAAAUAGUCAGAGCCCGUUAACGGGUGAUGGCGUGCCUUUUGUAGAAUGAACCGGCGAGUUACGAUCCCGUGCGAGGUUAAGCUGAAGAGGCGGAGCCGUAGCGAAAGCGAGUCUGAAUAGGGCGUUUAGUACGUGGUCGUAGACCCGAAACCAGGUGAUCUACCCAUGUCCAGGGUGAAGUUCAGGUAACACUGAAUGGAGGCCCGAACCCACGCACGUUGAAAAGUGCGGGGAUGAGGUGUGGGUAGCGGAGAAAUUCCAAUCGAACCUGGAGAUAGCUGGUUCUCCCCGAAAUAGCUUUAGGGCUAGCCUUAAGUGUAAGAGUCUUGGAGGUAGAGCACUGAUUGGACUAGGGGUCCUCAUCGGAUUACCGAAUUCAGUCAAACUCCGAAUGCCAAUGACUUAUCCUUAGGAGUCAGACUGCGAGUGAUAAGAUCCGUAGUCAAAAGGGAAACAGCCCAGACCGCCAGCUAAGGUCCCAAAGUGUGUAUUAAGUGGAAAAGGAUGUGGAGUUGCUUAGACAACUAGGAUGUUGGCUUAGAAGCAGCCACCAUUUAAAGAGUGCGUAAUAGCUCACUAGUCGAGUGACUCUGCGCCGAAAAUGUACCGGGGCUAAAUACACCACCGAAGCUGCGGAUUGAUACCGAAUGGUAUCAGUGGUAGGGGAGCGUUCUAAGGACAGUGAAGUCAGACCGGAAGGACUGGUGGAGUGCUUAGAAGUGAGAAUGCCGGUAUGAGUAGCGAAAGACGGGUGAGAAUCCCGUCCACCGAAUGCCUAAGGUUUCCUGAGGAAGGCUCGUCCGCUCAGGGUUAGUCAGGACCUAAGCCGAGGCCGACAGGCGUAGGCGAUGGACAACAGGUUGAUAUUCCUGUACCACCUCUUUAUCGUUUGAGCAAUGGAGGGACGCAGAAGGAUAGAAGAAGCGUGCGAUUGGUUGUGCACGUCCAAGCAGUUAGGCUGAUAAGUAGGCAAAUCCGCUUAUCAUAAAGGCUGAGCUGUGAUGGGGAAGCUCCUUAUGGAGCGAAGUCUUUGAUUCCCCGCUGCCAAGAAAAGCUUCUAGCGAGAUAAAAGGUGCCUGUACCGCAAACCGACACAGGUAGGCGAGGAGAGAAUCCUAAGGUGUGCGAGAGAACUCUGGUUAAGGAACUCGGCAAAAUGACCCCGUAACUUCGGGAGAAGGGGUGCUUUCUUAACGGAAAGCCGCAGUGAAUAGGCCCAAGCGACUGUUUAGCAAAAACACAGCUCUCUGCGAAGCCGUAAGGCGAAGUAUAGGGGGUGACACCUGCCCGGUGCUGGAAGGUUAAGGAGAGGGGUUAGCGUAAGCGAAGCUCUGAACUGAAGCCCCAGUAAACGGCGGCCGUAACUAUAACGGUCCUAAGGUAGCGAAAUUCCUUGUCGGGUAAGUUCCGACCCGCACGAAAGGUGUAACGAUUUGGGCACUGUCUCAACCAGAGACUCGGUGAAAUUAUAGUACCUGUGAAGAUGCAGGUUACCCGCGACAGGACGGAAAGACCCCGUGGAGCUUUACUGUAGCCUGAUAUUGAAUUUUGGUACAGUUUGUACAGGAUAGGCGGGAGCCUUUGAAACCGGAGCGCUAGCUUCGGUGGAGGCGCUGGUGGGAUACCGCCCUGACUGUAUUGAAAUUCUAACCUACGGGUCUUAUCGACCCGGGAGACAGUGUCAGGUGGGCAGUUUGACUGGGGCGGUCGCCUCCUAAAGUGUAACGGAGGCGCCCAAAGGUUCCCUCAGAAUGGUUGGAAAUCAUUCGUAGAGUGCAAAGGCAUAAGGGAGCUUGACUGCGAGACCUACAAGUCGAGCAGGGACGAAAGUCGGGCUUAGUGAUCCGGUGGUUCCGCAUGGAAGGGCCAUCGCUCAACGGAUAAAAGCUACCCCGGGGAUAACAGGCUUAUCUCCCCCAAGAGUCCACAUCGACGGGGAGGUUUGGCACCUCGAUGUCGGCUCAUCGCAUCCUGGGGCUGUAGUCGGUCCCAAGGGUUGGGCUGUUCGCCCAUUAAAGCGGUACGCGAGCUGGGUUCAGAACGUCGUGAGACAGUUCGGUCCCUAUCCGUCGUGGGCGUAGGAAAUUUGAGAGGAGCUGUCCUUAGUACGAGAGGACCGGGAUGGACGCACCGCUGGUGUACCAGUUGUUCUGCCAAGGGCAUAGCUGGGUAGCUAUGUGCGGAAGGGAUAAGUGCUGAAAGCAUCUAAGCAUGAAGCCCCCCUCAAGAUGAGAUUUCCCAUAGCGUAAGCUAGUAAGAUCCCUGAAAGAUGAUCAGGUUGAUAGGUUCGAGGUGGAAGCAUGGUGACAUGUGGAGCUGACGAAUACUAAUAGAUCGAGGACUUAACCAUAUAA
rnacentral:rRNA from 1 species